AAAAGUUUUUUCCCUUUGCAGUUUUUAACUGGUUGCAGUCACACACGCGCGCGCGCGCGCACACACACACACACACACACACAUUCUUAAUUCUAUAAAUCCCAUUGAACCACUGGAAAGAUCUUAGAAACUGAGACCUGGAAACCCUGUCUUGCUCUGCUACUGACACAGUCUCCUUUCUUCCUAGCACCCAGAUCAUGGAUAACCUAACGGUUUCCGGCAUGAGCUGAACAAAGGAAACAGCCUACUGUCACUCUGCUCUUCUAGGAUUUUGCUAAGUAGGAAGCAAAAGCUGUGACCCAUCCUAAUUGCCUCUUGUCUCGUUUGUCCUUUGUCCCCCAACUCUCCUCCCAAUUGCCAUCCCAGAAUCCAUCCUCCACAGAGAAGCCAGAAUGGUACGUCCAAAGGAUGUUUUCUCCAGCGGUGGAUGAAAUCAGUGUUUAAUGCUACACAGGCCGAGCUGUGUCCAUAUAAGGAAAGCCCAGGCUCACGUCUCUCCGUGAAAAAGGACCUGUCCUCCCCUCCCUGUGUUCUGCUUCCACCCCCUGCAUGUGGAGGUGGAGAGUGGGAGCCGGGGAAUGUGAACUUGAUCCAGCACUGAUCAGCCAAGCAGCAAACUCUCAUUGUUCUUUAGAUACCAAACAUAACUUCUUUCUACUAGGGAUAAACCCAGCCAUUCUGUACAUAACACAGCUUUUGUGCUCACCAGUAUGAUAGUUGGAAAAGAACCACAAAGAACAUUAGAGCUUUAUUAGACACCUCCUAAUAUGCAGGAUUUAAGAACCUACCACCCAGUUAAUUUAUAUUCAGAUUUAUAUUAGGUAUGUUAGAAUCUUAUUAAAUCUAUCUUCUAGGAGUUUCUGAAUGCUUUUAUAAUUAUGGGUUUCAAUUUAUUAUGUAAAUAUUAUGGCCUGUUUUGCCUUCUAUGGGAGCAUUUCUUACCAUCACUGCCUUGAUCUCUGAGUUUCAAGGAUACUGGAAAUCAUGAUAAGGGACAACCAAAUAUGCUGUUGCUGUUUUUACAUGUCACCCUGUAAAUGUGACUUAACUGUUUCAGUACAAAGCCAUGGUGUCAUAGGAAAUCCACAGCUGGGAAUUUAGACUAGGCACUCUCUGUCAUUGCCACCAAGAAGCUCUGUGGCCUUGGACGUGCAUGUCACACAACCUCUCUGAGCUAUGAAACAGAGAUAAUGCUGUGGUGAGGAUAAAAUGAGAUGGUGCACAUGGUAAAAGGCACAAAAUAGACCAGUAAAUGCAAAUCCCUUCCUCUUUCCCCUCAGAAACAAAAGUCUAUCUGGUAUUUUGAACCUAAGUAAAUUUUCAAAGGUAUCAAAAUAACUGAGUUGUGACGUCAUAAUAAAAAGCCUGGCCUGACAAGCACACAGGCUCAAUGCCCUUGUACGGAGCCUGCAAAGACACAACACAUCUGAGCUACUACAAACAAGUGUGUAUCCCUUCCAAUGACAACCAAUGGACAUGAGAAACCAAGUUCUGUU
rnacentral:lncRNA from 10 species